rnacentral:rRNA from 1 species
UACAGAGGUCUCAAGCGUUGUUCGGAUUCAUUGGGCGUAAAGGGUGCGUAGGCGGCGCGGUAAGUCGGGUGUGAAAUCUUGGAGCUUAACUCCGGAAACUGCAUUCGAUACUGCCGUGCUUGAGGACUGGAGAGGAGACUGGAAUUUACGGUGUAGCGGUGAAAUGCGUAGAUAUCUGGAGGAACACCGGUGGCGAAGGCGGCAUUCUGGACCGACAUUGACGCUGAGGAGCGAAAGCCAGGGGAGCAAACGGG